UACACUCCUGCGGGAGGCAGCAGUGGGGAAUUUUGGCCAAUGGGCGAAAGCCUGAUCCAGCCAUGCCGCGUGCAGGAUGAAGGCCUUCGGGUUGUAAACUGCUUUUGUACGGAACGAAACGGCCUUUUCUAAUAAAGAGGGCUAAUGACGGUACCGUAAGAAUAAGCACCGGCUAACUACGUGCCAGCAGCCGCGGUAAUACGUAGGGUGCAAGCGUUAAUCGGAAUUACUGGGCGUAAAGCGUGCGCAGGCGGUUAUGUAAGACAGUUGUGAAAUCCCCGAGCUCAACCUGGGAACUGCAUCUGUGACUGCAUAGCUAGAGUACGGUAGAGGGGGAUGGAAUUCCGCGUGUAGCAGUGAAAUGCGUAGAUAUGCGGAGGAACACCGAUGGCGAAGGCAAUCCCCUGGACCUGUACUGACGCUCAUGCACGAAAGCGUGGGGAGCAAACAGGAUUAGAUACCCCAGUAGUCCCAUGAU
rnacentral:rRNA from 1 species